GGGAGCGCCGAGCGAAGCGCUGAGACGGGGGGGGGACACCGAGGGUUCCAGAUGGGCGCCACGCUGUCGGGCUGCACGUUGUAACUGCUGUCCACCGCUUUGCAAACGAUCUCCAGCUCCGUCCCCGCCUCCACCGGCACCGUCAGCUCCCACAGCGCCCACGCCCACGCGCGGCCCGGCGGAGCUUUAUCCCCCAUCAGCCUCGCCACCUUCCACGUGCGCCCCCCGUCCAGCGACACGUCCACGCGCACCACCUCGCGCCCGCCGCCGCUCCACGCGUAACCCUUCACCGUCAGCUCCCCCGGCGGCACCGCGGCUCCGGGCCGCGGCUGAGUGACGGCCGACUGCACCGGCAGCUCCUGGAUGGCGGGCGCCGUGCGGUAAUCCACCGUGUCCCAAUCCACGCAGGGGGAGAAGCCCUUGUAGUCGUUCUGCUGCCAAUGGCUGGGGCUCUCAUCGGGGCUCACGGCCACGCGGCGCAGCCACUUAACGCUGCGUGCGCCCACCACGCCGGGCACCACCACGCGGACGGGGAAGCCGUGGUCCCGGGGCAGCUCCGUGCCGUUCAUCUCGUAGGCCAGCAGCACGUCGGCGGCGGGGCUGAGAGCGCGGCCGUAAGGGAUGGACGCACCGUACGGAGCGCCCCCGGGGUCGGCGUCCAAACCCUCGAAGCAGACGUGCCACUCGCCCUGGAGCUCCUCGGGGAAGCCGGCGUGCAGCAGGACGUCCCGCAGCCUCGCUCCGCCCCACCGCGCCGUGCUGAUGGCACCGAUGUCCCACGGCAGCCCUUUGACGGGCCGCACGCGGCUCAUCUCGGAGCGGCGGUUCCCGGCGCACUGCAGGGUCGCCGUCACUUCGUGUUUGGGGAAGCGGCUCCGCAGCUCGGCCAGGGACAGCGACAGCGUGCGGCCGCCGGGACCGUCCACCCGCAGCCGGUACGAGCUCGGCUCCACCGCCGGCACCGGGAGGUGGUUGCGGGUGAAGAAAAGCUCGUUGGGCGUCAGGAAGCGCUCGGCCAGCAGCUCGGCCGGCGGCUCCGCGUUGAAGGGCUUCUGGCUGUUGACGCGCAGCCCGGGGUGCCGGGGGGGGUCCCCGGCGAAGGGGUCCUGAGCGUCGGGGGCCGCCGGUGCCUCGUCGGGGCUGAGCUCGCCCACUUUGUAUUGCUGCAGCAGCUCCAGGACGUGCGGUUCCCCGUGCACCGCAUACAGCGCCCAGAAGGGCUCCAGGGCCCCCCCCGCCGCCAGCAGGAUCUUGUCGGGCCCCCCCGGGUGCAGCUCCACGAAGUCGGUGACGUCGAACACGUCGGUGCCGUGGGUCACCCAGACGCGUUCUUCGGGGCUCCGGUGCCGCCCCACCUCUUCCCGCGUGUACCGGGGGUACGACGGGGCGGCGGCGGCGUGAGCGGCCUGGGAGGGGGGGGAAGGAUGGGGGCUCGGCUCCGUCAGCGGGGACAGCCCGGACCCACCUCCCCCCCGGUGCCCACCCCCCCCACUCCGCUCCCCACCCGGUGCGCGCUCACCCGUCGCCGCCGUUCUCCGUAGCUCAGCGCCGCGCCGAGGCCGAGCAGCGCCGCCAGCACCGGACCACCCGCCCGCCGCCCCCCCCGGGCCCGGACCGCCGGGGGCGAUGUCCGUCCGGGAGGAGCCGCGGUGUUGGGAGAGCGGCGGGGGGGCAGACGGACUCUGCGGAGAGAGCGGCGCUGAGCGGUGCCCGGGGGCGGAGAGAGG
rnacentral:lncRNA from 1 species